rnacentral:rRNA from 1 species
AGUGAACGCUGGCGGUAGGCCUAACACAUGCAAGUCGAACGGCAGCACAGUAAGAGCUUGCUCUUACGGGUGGCGGGUGGCGGACGGGUGAGGAAUACAUCGGAAUCUACUUUUUAGUGGGGGAUAACGUAGGGAAACUUACGCUAAUACCGCAUACGACCUACGGGUGAAAGCAGUGGAUCUUCGGAACUUGCGCGAUUGAAUGAGCCGAUGUCGGAUUAGCUAGUUGGCGGGGUAAAGGCCCACCAAGGCGACGAUACGUAGCUGGUCUGAGGGGAUGAUCAGCCACACUGGAACUGAGACACGGUCCAGACUCCUACGGGAGGCAGCAGUGGGGAAUAUUGGACAAUGGGCGCAAGCCUGAUCCAGCCAUACCGCGUGGGUGAAGAAGGCCUUCGGGUUGUAAAGCCCUUUUGUUGGGAAAGAAAAGCAGCAGGUUAAUACCCCGCUGUUCUGACGGUACCCAAAGAAUAAGCACCGGCUAACUUCGUG